CGCGAUACAGGGUGACAGCCCCGUACACAAAAAUGCACAUAUUGUGAGCUCGAUGAGUAGGGCGGGACACGUGGUAUCCUGUCUGAAUAUGGGGGGACCAUCCUCCAAGGCUAAAUACUCCUGACUGACCGAUAGUGAACCAGUACCGUGAGGGAAAGGCGAAAAGAACCCCGGCGAGGGGAGUGAAAAAGAACCUGAAACCGUGUACGUACAAGCAGUGGGAGCCUCUUAAUGGGGUGACUGCGUACCUUUUGUAUAAUGGGUCAGCGACUUAUAUUCUGUAGCAAGGUUAACCGAAUAGGGGAGCCGAAGGGAAACCGAGUCUUAACUGGGCGUUAAGUUGCAGGGUAUAGACCCGAAACCCGGUGAUCUAGCCAUGGGCAGGUUGAAGGUUGGGUAACACUAACUGGAGGACCGAACCGACUAAUGUUGAAAAAUUAGCGGAUGACUUGUGGCUGGGGGUGAAAGGCCAAUCAAACCGGGAGAUAGCUGGUUCUCCCCGAAAGCUAUUUAGGUAGCGCCUCGUGAAUUCAUCUCCGGGGGUAGAGCACUGUUUCGGCAAGGGGGUCAUCCCGACUUACCAACCCGAUGCAAACUGCGAAUACCGGAGAAUGUUAUCACGGGAGACACACGGCGGGUGCUAACGUCCGUCGUGAAGAGGGAAACAACCCAGACCGCCAGCUAAGGUCCCAAAGUCAUGGUUAAGUGGGAAACGAUGUGGGAAGGCCCAGACAGCCAGGAUGUUGGCUUAGAAGCAGCCAUCAUUUAAAGAAAGCGUAAUAGCUCACUGGUCGAGUCGGCCUGCGCGGAAGAUGUAACGGGGCUAAACCAUGCACCGAAGCUGCGGCAGCGACACUAUGUGUUGUUGGGUAGGGGAGCGUUCUGUAAGCCUGUGAAGGUGGCCUGUGAGGGUUGCUGGAGGUAUCAGAAGUGCGAAUGCUGACAUAAGUAACGAUAAAGCGGGUGAAAAGCCCGCUCGCCGGAAGACCAAGGGUUCCUGUCCAACGUUAAUCGGGGCAGGGUGAGUCGACCCCUAAGGCGAGGCCGAAAGGCGUAGUCGAUGGGAAACAGGUUAAUAUUCCUGUACUUGGUGUUACUGCGAAGGGGGGACGGAGAAGGCUAUGUUGGCCGGGCGACGGUUGUCCCGGUUUAAGCGUGUAGGCUGGUUUUCCAGGCAAAUCCGGAAAACCAAGGCUGAGGCGUGAUGACGAGGCACUACGGUGCUGAAGCGACAAAUGCCCUGCUUCCAGGAAAAGCCUCUAAGCAUCAGGUAACAUCAAAUCGUACCCCAAACCGACACAGGUGGUCAGGUAGAGAAUACCAAGGCGCUUGAGAGAACUCGGGUGAAGGAACUAGGCAAAAUGGUGCCGUAACUUCGGGAGAAGGCACGCUGAUAUGUAGGUGAAGCGACUUGCUCGUGGAGCUGAAAUCAGUCGAAGAUACCAGCUGGCUGCAACUGUUUAUUAAAAACACAGCACUGUGCAAACACGAAAGUGGACGUAUACGGUGUGACGCCUGCCCGGUGCCGGAAGGUUAAUUGAUGGGGUUAGCGGUAACGCGAAGCUCUUGAUCGAAGCCCCGGUAAACGGCGGCCGUAACUAUAACGGUCCUAAGGUAGCGAAAUUCCUUGUCGGGUAAGUUCCGACCUGCACGAAUGGCGUAAUGAUGGCCAGGCUGUCUCCACCCGAGACUCAGUGAAAUUGAACUCGCUGUGAAGAUGCAGUGUACCCGCGGCAAGACGGAAAGACCCCGUGAACCUUUACUAUAGCUUGACACUGAACAUUGAGCCUUGAUGUGUAGGAUAGGUGGGAGGCUUUGAAGUGUGGACGCCAGUCUGCAUGGAGCCGACCUUGAAAUACCACCCUUUAAUGUUUGAUGUUCUAACGUUGGCCCCUAAUCGGGGUUGCGGACAGUGUCUGGUGGGUAGUUUGACUGGGGCGGUCUCCUCCUAAAGAGUAACGGAGGAGCACGAAGGUUGGCUAAUCCUGGUCGGACAUCAGGAGGUUAGUGCAAUGGCAUAAGCCAGCUUGACUGCGAGCGUGACGGCGCGAGCAGGUGCGAAAGCAGGUCAUAGUGAUCCGGUGGUUCUGAAUGGAAGGGCCAUCGCUCAACGGAUAAAAGGUACUCCGGGGAUAACAGGCUGAUACCGCCCAAGAGUUCAUAUCGACGGCGGUGUUUGGCACCUCGAUGUCGGCUCAUCACAUCCUGGGGCUGAAGUAGGUCCCAAGGGUAUGGCUGUUCGCCAUUUAAAGUGGUACGCGAGCUGGGUUUAGAACGUCGUGAGACAGUUCGGUCCCUAUCUGCCGUGGGCGCUGGAGAACUGAGGGGGGCUGCUCCUAGUACGAGAGGACCGGAGUGGACGCAUCACUGGUGUUCGGGUUGUCAUGCCAAUGGCACUGCCCGGUAGCUAAAUGCGGAAGAGAUAAGUGCUGAAAGCAUCUAAGCACGAAACUUGCCCCGAGAUGAGUUCUCCCUGAGACUUAGAGUCUCCUGAAGGAACGUUGAAGACGACGACGUUGAUAGGCCGGGUGUGUAAGCGCAGCGAUGCGUUGAGCUAACCGGUACUAAUGAACCGUGAGGCUUAACCUU
rnacentral:rRNA from 1 species